rnacentral:rRNA from 1 species
CCUACGGGUGGCAGCAGUGGGGAAUAUUGGACAAUGGGCGAAAGCCUGAUCCAGCCAUGCCGCGUGUGUGAAGAAGGCCUUCGGGUUGUAAAGCACUUUCAGUGGGGAAGAAAGCCUUGGGGCUAAUACCCUCGAGGAAGGACAUCACCCACAGAAGAAGCACCGGCUAACUCCGUGCCAGCAGCCGCGGUAAUACGGAGGGUGCGAGCGUUAAUCGGAAUUACUGGGCGUAAAGCGCGCGUAGGCGGUCUGAUAAGCCGGUUGUGAAAGCCCCGGGCUCAACCUGGGAACGGCAUCCGGAACUGUCAGGCUAGAGUGCAGGAGAGGAAGGUAGAAUUCCCGGUGUAGCGGUGAAAUGCGUAGAGAUCGGGAGGAAUACCAGUGGCGAAGGCGGCCUUCUGGACUGACACUGACGCCGAGGUGCGAAAGCGUGGGUAGCAAACAGGAUUAGAUACCCGAGUAGUC